CGGACGGGUGAGUAACACGUAGGUGAUCUGCCCUUGAGUUGGGGAUAGCCCAUGGAAACAUGGGGUAAUACCGAAUACGCUCCGGAUGCUAUGGCAACUGGAGGAAAAGCGCUUCGGCGCUGCUCGAGGAUGAGCCUGCGGCUGAUUAGUUAGUUGGUGGGGUAACGGCCUACCAAGGCGACGAUCAGUAGCCGGCCUGAGAGGGUGAACGGCCACACUGGGACUGAGAUACGGCCCAGACUCCUACGGGAGGCAGCAGCUAAGAAUCUUCUGCAAUGGACGAAAGUCUGACAGAGCGACGCCGCGUGGGUGAAGAAGGCCGGAAGGUUGUAAAACCCUUUUCUAUUCGAGGAAUAAUCGCAGGAGGCAAUGCCUGCGAGAUGACGGUAGGGUAGGACUAAGCCCCGGCCAAUUACGUGCCAGCAGCCGCGGUAACACGUAUGGGGCGAGCGUUGUUCGGAAUCAUUGGGCGUAAAGGGCGCGUAGGCGGAUAUGCAAGCUUGGUGUGAAAGACCGCAGCUCAACUGCGGGACCGCGCUGAGAACUGCAUGUCUAGAGUUCAAGAGGGGAAGCUGGAAUUCCAGGUGUAGGGGUGAAAUCUGUAGAGAUCUGGAAGAACAUCAGUGGCGAAGGCGAGCUUCUGGCUAUGAACUGACGCUGAGGCGCGAAAGCGUGGGGAGCAAACAGGAUUAGAUACCCUGGUAGUCCACGCUGUAAACGAUGUGCACUAGGUGUUGGGCCGCUGAAGGCUCAGUGCCGUAGCUAACGCGUUAAGUGCACCGCCUGGGGAGUAUGCUCGCAAGAGUGAAACUCAAAGGAAUUGAUGGGGGCCCGCACAAGCGGUGGAGCAUGUGGUUUAAUUAGAUGAUACGUGAGAAACCUUACCAGGGCUUGACAUAUUCUGGAAUGCGCAUGAGAGUGCGCAGCCCUUCGGGGCCGGUAUACAGGUGUUGCAUGGCUGUCGUCAGCUCGUGCCGUGAGGUGUUGGGUUAAGUUCCGCAAUGAGCGCAACCCGUAUUGUCUGUGGCCAGCAUUUGGGAGGGGGACUCAGACAAGACGGCCGGCGACAAACCGGAGGAAGGUGGGGAUCGACGUCAAGUCAUCAUGGCCCUUAUGUCCUGGGCUACACACGUGCUACAAUGGCCGGUACAAAGCGAAGCAAAA
rnacentral:rRNA from 1 species